rnacentral:rRNA from 1 species
AGAGUUUGAUCCUGGCUCAGGAUGAACGCUAGCGACAGGCCUAACACAUGCAAGUCGAGGGGCAGCGGAGAGGUAGCAAUACCUCUGUCGGCGACCGGCGCACGGGUGAGUAACACGUAUGCAAUCCACCUGUAACAGGGGGAUAACCCGGAGAAAUCCGGACUAAUACCCCAUAAUAUGGGCGCUCCGCAUGGAGGGCUCAUUAAAGAAAGCAAUUUUGGUUACAGACGAGCAUGCGCUCCAUUAGCCAGUUGGCGGGGUAACGGCCCACCAAAGCGACGAUGGAUAGGGGUUCUGAGAGGAAGGUCCCCCACAUUGGAACUGAGACACGGUCCAAACUCCUACGGGAGGCAGCAGUGAGGAAUAUUGGUCAAUGGUCGGCAGACUGAACCAGCCAAGUCGCGUGAGGGAAGACGGCCCUACGGGUUGUAAACCUCUUUUGUCGGAGAGUAAAGUACGCUACGUGUAGCGUAUUGCAAGUAUCCGAAGAAAAAGCAUCGGCUAACUCCGUGCCAGCAGCCGCGGUAAUACGGAGGAUGCGAGCGUUAUCCGGAUUUAUUGGGUUUAAAGGGUGCGUAGGCGGCACGCCAAGUCAGCGGUGAAAUUUCCGGGCUCAACCCGGAGUGUGCCGUUGAAACUGGCGAGCUAGAGUACACAAGAGGCAGGCGGAAUGCGUGGUGUAGCGGUGAAAUGCAUAGAUAUCACGCAGAACCCCGAUUGCGAAGGCAGCCUGCUAGGGUGAAACAGACGCUGAGGCACGAAAGCGUGGGUAUCGAACAGGAUUAGAUACCCUGGUAGUCCACGCAGUAAACGAUGAAUACUAACUGUUUGCGAUACAAUGUAAGCGGUACAGCGAAAGCGUUAAGUAUUCCACCUGGGGAGUACGCCGGCAACGGUGAAACUCAAAGGAAUUGAC